rnacentral:lncRNA from 1 species
UUUUGAGAAUUAUCUUUAUGAUAAUGAUAAUAUGGUAAAGAUUUCACAAUUCUGGAUGCUUUACAAGUUUUAACGAGCCGCGAGAGUGGACACCGGUUGUUUUGUUUGACCCAAAGUGACAUACAGCAGUAAUGAAAUGAGUGAUUACACUCUCCCCAAACAACGACACAAUCCUGGCGACCGUCAAAAUCCUUUUUGCUUUCAGCUUGACAACGUAAACAUGCGUCUGCGUUGUCAUUGCUAACUGGCGAAGCUUAGACAAGUUAAAUCUCAUUUCAAGCGCUUGAUUUCGAAUUAAUAUGAUAUUGUCUAAGAAACAAUGACCGAUGGAGCUUGAGAUGAAGAGCAAACAUAAUAGUAUAUAAUAUGUGACAAUAAAUAAAACACACUGACCUAAAAU